rnacentral:rRNA from 1 species
UUUAUCGCCUCAAUUAUGUAUGAGUACCCGCUGAACUUAAGCAUAUCGUUAAGCGGAGGAAAAGAAACUAAAUAGGAUUUCCAUAGUAACUGCGAGUGAACUGGAAUUAGCCCAUCACGAAAUCUUUAAUAUGAUAAUAUUAACGAAAUGUCGUGUAUAAGUAUUUAUCUGGUAAUAAUAUUAUUGAAUAAUUGCAUUUAAACAUGCAGCCACAGAAGGUGCCAGCCCUGUCGUUCUUUAAUAUUAUUAUCAAUUUAUUUACUUUAGAGUCGUGUUGCUUGGAAGUGCAGCGCAAAGUUGGUGAUAAACAUCAUCUAAGGCUAAAUAUCCCUAUGAAUCCGAUAGCGAACAAGUACUGUGAAGGAAAAUUGCAAAGUACUCCGGAGAGAGAGUUAAAGAGGACGUGAAACCGAUACGAUGGAAGCAUACAGAGCCAGUUGCACUUAUAAUAUUUUUAAUAUUAUAUUUAAGCAUGGGUAUAUUGAUAUUUUGUUAAUUGAUUAUUAAAGAGUAAUAUAAAUUUAUUUAUGUUGGCUUUAAUAAUUAAAUUCUCAUUAUAUUAAUAUUUUUUUUGUUGAUGGAUUAUUAUAAUAUAUCUAAUAUAUUAUUUACAAUGCACAUGUGUUUAGUAUUUAAUAUAUUUUAUAUAUUAUUUUAUAAGUUAACAUUCCUAUGUAAUCCUGGUAUGCUGUAUGUCCCGUCUUGAAACACGGACCAAGGAGUGUAUUGCUAUGGCAAGUCAUUAAUAUUGUUAAUAUUAAAGGCGUAAUGAAAAUAAUUUUAUCUCAGAUAAUUAUUUUUUAUAAUAAUUCGCAUGAGAGACGUGGAUAUAAGAUUUAUCUUUUUCCGCAGUUAUAGCCAUAGUAGUGCGACCCGAAAGAUGGUGAACUAUGCUAGCGCAGGGUAAAGUCAGAAGAAAUUCUGAUGGAAGCUCGAAGCGGUCCUGACGUGCAAAUCGGUCGUCUGACGUUAGUAUAGGGGCGAAAGACUAAUCGAACCAUCUAGUAGCUGGUUCCGGCCGAAGUUUCCCCCAGGAUAGCUGAAGCCUUAUACAGAUACAUCCGGUAAAGCUAAUGUUUAGAGGAAUAGGGAAUAACAUAUUCUUUAUCUAUUUACAAACUAUAAAUGGGUGUGAUAUUAUAAUUACUUAAUUGAAUUAUAAUCUCGAUUGUAUGGUUUCAAGUGGGCCAUUUUUGGUAAGCAGAACUGGCGACGUGGGAUGAACCAAAAGUGUCGUUAAAGUGCCUAAACUCUUGCUCAUCAGACCCCAUAAAGAGUGUUGUUUGAUCCUGACAGCAGGGCGGUGGCCAUGGAAGUCGGAAUCCGCUAAGGAUCGUGUAACAACUCACCUGCCGAAUCAAGCAGCCUCGAAAAUGGAUGGCGCUUGAGCAAGAUACUUAGACGAUACCAUUAAUUUAUAUAAAAAUUAAUGUGUAGGCUGGCGUGAUAAUAGCAUUGAAGAUUAUAAGCGUAAGCUUGAUUGGAGCUGUUAUUAGUGCAGAUCUUGGUGAUAGUAGCAAAUACACAAGUGAGAAUCUUGUGGGCCGAAGUGGAAAAGGGUUUCACGUCAACAUCAUUUGACUGUGAGUUAGUCGGUCCUAAGCUAACUACGAAAGUACUUUUAAAUUUAGCGAAAGGGAAAUAGAUUAAUAUUUCUAUACUGUUUACGGAGAUAUAAUAAGUAAAAUUAUUAUAUGCGUGGUAACACAAAUGAAACUAACUACGGUUUAAUAAGUUUUGGGUAGAGAUUUCUUCUCUAUUUAAGUUAUAAAAUCCAUGNGUAAAGCUAAUGUUUAGAGGAAUAGGGAAUAACAUAUUCUUUAUCUAUUUACAAACUAUAAAUGGGUGUGAUAUUAUAAUUACUUAAUUGAAUUAUAAUCUCGAUUGUAUGGUUUCAAGUGGGCCAUUUUUGGUAAGCAGAACUGGCGACGUGGGAUGAACCAAAAGUGUCGUUAAAGUGCCUAAACU